GUGUUACGGCUGCUGUGAUUUAUAGUAGUGGGGACUCUGUGGAGUGUUAUAUUCCCCACUGUACUGACCGUAACAAAGUUGGCAUCCUCGCCAGGAUAACACUCUAGUGAGCUGUAGCAGUUAACUGCAGCCGUGGUGAACGUAGCAUAAAGUGGCGACCUCGCCAGGAUAACACUCUAGUGAGCUAUAGCAGUUAACUGCAGCCGUGGCGUACGUAACAAUAUAUAGACAGUAAAGGAAAUCACUCCUUCAUAACAGGCAGAAUAGGCUUCAAGACAACAACUUUCUACGGUCGUAAGGAGACUGAUUGAGGUGCUACCACUAUGUACAAGUGAUUCUGAGGAUAUUGAUGAGUAUGCUGAUGACGAAGUUGAUGAUGAUUAUAAGCCGCAUGACUCAGAAUAUGAGGAGUCAACUGAAGAGGAUGAACAUCCAUAUGAAACCCUCGUUCUGGAAAUUGACAAUCCAUCACCAGAUCUAUCACCUAGGCCUAAGCCAACUCAUGGUUGUUACACAGACGACAGGCAAAUUCCAGAGAGAAAGCAAAUGAGCGUUUGUGAUUUCAUGCUAAAAUUAUCUUACUCUCUCUUGCUAAGUGGAAAGACAAAAGGGAAAAAGAGGAAGAGCUUAGGUAAUGCAGUAAGCGGUGCAUACACUGUUAAGAAAAAAAAGGGGAAAAGCUACAAAACCCAUUCCUGAUAAGGAUAUCAGAUUGGAUAAAAUUGAUCAUUUCUCUCAUAUCUUCUUGAAGGGGUUCCUGUAAAUUACCUAGGUGUAAAGGCAAGAUUUCAGUGUUCUGCCAGAAAUGUUAAGUUCACUUAUGUUUGGAAUCAAAACGAAAUUGCUUUCAGGAAUUUCACACCAAUUGAGAUAAAACAAAUUUAAUUUUCAAAGUAAGAUGUGAAAGAAUUGCAAGCUUUAGUUUUAUAGGGCUGUGAGUCAAGAGUUGUAUUUAUGUUACUUCAAACUUCUAUAACCAAAGGAUAUAUUAGUCACUUAUCAGUCACUCAGACUUAUAUGUUUUGGACUGAUGAAAGUUGUAUUUUAUUUCUCAAUUACUAGAGAACGUGAUUAGUCAUAUAGGCUUAUACAAGAUAAUUAUAUACAGAAAGGAAAACAAUGUUCUGCUGCCCUGUGCAAUCAAACUACUAGAAUAACCAAAGGAAAUAGAAAGUUGUAUAUAGUAUAUAUUGGAAUAUAAUUAUCCUUAUGUUUUUUAGUAAAUAUGCAUUAUGAUAUAUAGUUCUUGUUUACAUGAUAUUACACUGUAUUAGGACAAUUUUAUUUCAUAAUAGGUUCCAAAAUAAAAAAUUUGAGAAAAACAAAAAUGUUGUAUAAGGACAAUUUUGUCACGUUAAUAUAUUUUCUCAAUUUCAAAUAAAAAUGAUUUUUCUUUUG